AAGGCUGAAGGGUCCACCCUUGCCCGUGGAAGCAGAUGGAAUGGAGAGGAAUUUCACCCUGGCCUCCUUGACACUAGCCCUGUGACUCAAAUGAAUGAAGAAGUGAAUCCAAACCUGGAAGUGGAUAUUUUUAAAAAAGUCCCAUCAUCAUUUUGGGAGCUGAGAUGUCCAAGUGUCACAAAGGAGGAUUUCUCAAUGAGGAACUGACCAGCAAGGGAGAAAAAUACCCUUUACAAACACUUCCUGCUAGAAGUCAAAUGGUAGGCAAACAAGAGUUGCACCAUCAAUGCAGCAUUCUUCUGGGUUCAUUUUCUGACUUUUGAAGAGGUUGGUUUCUACAAAUACAGUGUUGUGCUCCCGGGUCACCAGCUUCCCCAAGCUCUCAUCACAGGAGUUGGAACUUUCAGUGAAUCAGUUUGUGCAGGGUCUGGGCUGGCAUCAAAGAGUUCCCUGAUGAUGAAUCUGUAGGGAAUGAGGAGGGAGUCAAGGGCUUCCCCAGUCAUGCCAGAGGCAGAGUGACCCAGGACAUAAGAAG